UUGAAUGAACGUGACCAGGGUUGUCGCUGGCCUCUGUCAUAGGAGGCAUGUGCACGCCUUGUUCAUUUCCACCUUCACACCUCUGUGCACUUCUCAUGGGUUGGGUUGCGCCGUUGCACAAAUGGCAAAGCCUGUCUCAUGUGUUUAUCAUACACCACUUGUUUGUUACAGAAUGUCUACUAUGUUGUGCAUGAAUGGCAUAAUAAAUAAUA
rnacentral:misc_RNA from 1 species